UCUGGCCCGCAGUGUGUCAAAUCUGAUCCAGCUGUCCACGGGCUGCUGCUCCACGGGCCAAAACGCAGGCAUGUGGUAAACUGGGCCGUCGGCCCGCCUACGACAGCGCUUCGCUGAGGCCCAGUGUUGUGCUUCUGGUGCGCACCUGAGUCCUAUCCCAUCUCUUUCGAUUCCAUGGUGCGCCGCCGGUGGCUAUCGUCCGAGAGGAAGACCGCACCACCAGUCCAGCAUCCCUCCUCAGACGGCCACGCCUCACCCCACCCCUCCCGAUCCCAUAGGUGCGACGCCGGUGGAUAUCUUCCUCGUUUCUACGAUCUGAAACCCUAGGCUGGGGCGCUGCCGACGGAUGCCACGUCGAGUCCAUGGCCGACCUCCUCGUCCAGGCUCGGAAUAAGCUGCUCGAAGGUGAUGGGAUCUGCCAGUCCGUGCUAGAAAGGCCGUCUGCUGAGAGAGGUGGUCGCUGGAGAUCCAUUGGCCACUGCGAGACCGAGUCGACCGAUUGCUAUUACACCCUCCUCUGCGGUGCCUCUUUUUCUCCCGUGGAUGACAAUGGCGACGGCUGCGCGUAAGCUCCUGACGGAUGGCUCUUCCUCACGCACGUGACUGGCAGCAACUAUGGUGGUGCGAGAGCCUCCCCACGCGCGUCACCACCCUCGAGAUCGCAGACUCUGGUAGCGCACACACAGCAACCGCACAGAGCCGCAGUGGACAUCACGGUCCUGUCGCCACGCCUAGGGUCCGCAGCGACAGGGUCGGCGGCAAAUCUAAUCCAUAUCCACUGGUUUCAGCAGUAAGCUGACGUCUCAUACAUCACCCCGUUCAUCUCCCAUCUUGCUCCUUGACAAAUUAGAUUGUUCUACCAAUUUUUUUUUGGUGAUUGUGGACGACCAAGAUAAGGAUAAGAGAAAGUAAUCAUAAAUUGAUGUCCAGUGUGAUCUUUCAUUUA